rnacentral:rRNA from 1 species
GAGUUUGAUCGUGGCUCAGAACGAACGCUGGCGGCGUGCCUAACACAUGCAAGUCGAGCGCGAAUAGGGGCAACCCUUAGUAGAGCGGCGCACGGGUGCGUAACACGUGGAUAAUCUGCCUGGAUGCCCGGGAUAACCAGUCGAAAGAUUGGCUAAUACCGGAUAAGCCCACGGCCUCUUCGGAGGCUGAGGGAAAAGGUGGCCUCUGUAUACAAGCUAUCACAACCAGAUGAGUCCGCGGCCCAUCAGCUAGUUGGCGGGGUAAUGGCCCACCAAGGCGACGACGGGUAGCUGGUCUGAGAGGACGAUCAGCCACACUGGAACUGAGACACGGUCCAGACUCCUACGGGAGGCAGCAGUGGGGAAUUUUGCGCAAUGGGCAAAAGCCUGACGCAGCAACGCCGCGUGUGUGAUGAAGGUCUUUGGAUUGUAAAGCACUUUCGACCGGGACGAAAACCCGUUGGCUAACAUCCAACGGCUUGACUGUACCGGGAGAAGAAGCACCGGCUAACUCUGUGCCAG